AUUGAACGCUGGCGGCAGGCCUAACACAUGCAAGUCGAACGAGUGGCGGACGGGUGAGUAAUGUCUGGGAAACUGCCCGAUGGAGGGGGAUAACUACUGGAAACGGUAGCUAAUACCGCAUACCAUCGGAUGUGCCCAGAUGGGAUUAGCUUGUAGGUGAGGUAACGGCUAACAGAGGCGACGAUCCCUAGCUGGUCUGAGAGGAUGACCAGCCACACGUGAACGUAGACACGGGCCAGACUACUAUGGGGUGAAGACGUGGGGAAUAUUGCACAAUGGGCGCAAGACUCAUGUAGCCCUGCCGCGUGUAUGAAGAAGUCCUUCGGGUUGUAAAGUACUUUCAGCGGGGAGGCGGUACCCGAAGAAGAAGCAUCGGCUCACUCCGUGCCAGCAGCCGCGUUUAUUC
rnacentral:rRNA from 1 species